AAUCUGUAAUGCUGUCUGAUUGUAAAAACUGUUGUUGGUUGCCUGCACUGGGACAGCUACCUUCCUUGGAAUCCGUCGUCAUUGCUGGAUUUAAUAUGAUGGAGAAGAUAGGCAAUGAAUUUUACAGUGAUAGUGAUGGUUCUUCUUCUUCUUCUGCGAUCACUAAACCAUUCAAGUCGUUAAAAAGCUUGGAAUUUUCAUGUAUGGCAGAGUGGAUGGAGUGGUCAGUGGUGGAAGUUGAAGGUAACAGAGAAGAAGGUGGUGGAGUUUUCUCAAACCUUAGAAAGCUUGAAUUGUCAAACUGUCCGAAGCUAAAAGGGGAGUGCUUACCGGAUUAUCUUCCGUGUUUGGAAACUCUUUCGAUACGGAAAAGUGACCGCUUGGCGACCUCACUCUCAGGGCAUCAAUACCCAUCGCUGCGUGUAUUGAGAAUAUGGACUUGUCAAAAAAUGAAGACAUUCCCGGAAGGGAGCUUGCCCUCCGAUAUACAGUCAAUUGAAAUUCGGGAAUGCGAUGAACUGGUGUCACUUUUGGAAGAGUGAUGGCCUUCCAAUUUAAAAUCACUUAAAAUUUUCAGUUGUUCGAAGCUGUUCGUUCGGGGCAACAUCACGCAGUGGAAUCUGGGAAUGCUCACCUCUCUUACAUCCUUAGAUAUCAAAGGAAUAGAUGAAGUGGUGGAUACAUUUCCAGACAAGGAAGGGCAGCUUCCCACUUCCCUCACUUCUCUUUACCUAGAUGAUAUUCCAAACCUUAAAUCCCUACACGGAAAGGCCUUCCAACAACUCACCUCCCUUCAAUACUUGUCAAUUGAAGGGUGCAAACAGCUCCAGUGCUUGCCAGAAGAAAGGCUGCCCGCAUCCAUUUUUGAGUUGUGGAUAAGAGAUUGUCCAUUGCUAACGCCACGAUGCCAGAGAGAAACAGGGGAGGAUUGGCCCAAAAUCCAUCACAUCCCGAGCAUAAUCAUAGAUUUCCAUAAAAUAUGAUUACAAUCAUGUCCGCCUUCUCUAUACACAUUUCAGGAUGUCAACAGUUGGUGGCCUCAUUUACAAGAUGUCAAUAUGCGGGUGCUGCAUUUCAUCUCUUAGGAAUUUGAAGACAACAGGUUUCCCAAAAAGUUUAGUCCAAUGGAGAAUUUGGAUUUUCCUGUAAUUAGGUUCACUUGAAAUUACCAGCUGCAAAUCGCUCUUCGCGAACUAUUUUCAUUGAGGUCUCCAAACAGUCAGUUUUGCUCAUAUACUAUGCAAAUGUAAAUGUGAAGAUGUUUUGGAUUUGUUUUCAGAGUAGGGUCUGCUCCGAGAUUAUGUGGUUGAACUCUGCCUAUACCGUUUUCAAAAUCUUAAUCCUUAAGCAGAAAGGGUUUUCAACAUUAAAGAGUUGUCCAUUUCUUACAGUGACGAGUUGCAGUGCUUGCCAGAAGAAGGGCUGCCCACUUGUAUAUUUCUUAUUUGAAAAUCUAUGGAUGUCCGUUGCCAAACCAAUGGUGGCAAUGCGAUGAGAAAAGGGGUAGUAUUUGCCCAAGGUUUUUCCCUAAUGUGUUAAGAUUGAUGAUGAGCUGUGCAUUGAGCAGAUU